rnacentral:lncRNA from 1 species
GACAGUAUGAAUAAUAAAUAGCACAUAUCAGAAGCACACGCGAAACAACAAAACGUACAUGUGCCUUUACGAGUCAAUACGAUGCAAGCAUAAUCUUUCACAAAUGUAUUCAGAUUUGAAAGGAAAUGAAAGCAAGAGCAUUCAAGGAUUCCAAGCAAUCACAUAUAACUCAAUUCAAAUAAGAAGGUUAGAUGAAUUCAAUUUCCAAAGGAAUGAAACUCGAAUAGGCACAUAUCGAAAGCAAAUGCGGAACAAUGAGAUAUACAUGUGCCUAUAUGAGUCAAUACGAUAUAGCAUAAACGUUACACAAUAGU